AGCGAACGCUGGCGGCAGGCUUAACACAUGCAAGUCGAGCGGGCACUUUCGGGUGUCAGCGGCGGACGGGUGAGUAACGCGUGGGAACGUGCCCUCUGGUUCGGAAUAACUCAGGGAAACUUGAGCUAAUACCGGAUACGCCCUUUUGGGGAAAGGCUUGCUGCCGGAGGAUCGGCCCGCGUCUGAUUAGCUAGUUGGUGAGGUAACGGCUCACCAAGGCGACGAUCAGUAGCUGGUCUGAGAGGAUGAUCAGCCACACUGGGACUGAGACACGGCCCAGACUCCUACGGGAAGCAGCAGUGGGGAAUAUUGGACAAUGGGCGCAAGCCUGAUCCAGCCAUGCCGCGUGAGUGAUGAAGGCCUUAGGGUUGUAAAGCUCUUUUAUCCGGGACGAUAAUGACGGCACCGGAGGAAUAAGCCCCGGCUAACUUCGUG
rnacentral:rRNA from 1 species